AAAGAAAGAAAAUAUGAAAAAAGGUGAAAAGAGGUGUCUAAUAGGUCAGGAAAAGGACCUAUAUAUAGGCACAUGAGAUAAAUACAGUACAGAGCUCGAAAAUACUGAUAAAAGCCCAAAAACCCGCAAAAACACGGACAAAACAGCAUGUUCGGCGACCGGAACGGCGAUCGCCGUACGGAUUGCCGAAAUUCUUCAUCAACCAAGCUCAAAAUCAGCGUUAGCCGUUUUUGUGACUGCUGCGCGCGACGUUUUAGUUUCGGUCAUAUCUUCCUCGUUCGAACUCUGAUUCUCGAUCCGUUUGCGCUUAUGAACUCUUCUCUAGAUGAUCUACAACUUCUAUUUCAGACCACUCUUCCAAAUUCGAACUCAAUAUUCCCUUAAAUUUCAUCAA
rnacentral:lncRNA from 1 species